CCUACGGGGGGCAGCAGUGGGGAAUAUUGCACAAUGGGGGAAACCCUGAUGCAGCGACGCCGCGUGAAGGAAGAAGUAUUUCGGUAUGUAAACUUCUAUCAGCAGGGAAGAAAAUGACGGUACCUGACUAAGAAGCCCCGGCUAACUACGUGCCAGCAGCCGCGGUAAUACGUAGGGGGCAAGCGUUAUCCGGAUUUACUGGGUGUAAAGGGAGCGUAGGCGGCGUUGCAAGUAAGAAGUGAAAGCCCGGGGCUCAACUCCGGGACUGCUCUUGGAACUGCGUGGCUGGAGUGCAGGAGGGGCAGGCGGAAUUCCUGGUGUAGCGGUGAAAUGCGUAGAGAUCAGGAGGAACACCGGUGGCGAAGGCGGCCUGCUGGACUGCAACUGACGUUGAGGCCCGAAAGCCUGGGGAGCAAACAGGAUUAGAUACCCGAGUAGUC
rnacentral:rRNA from 1 species